UUCAGUAAGAAUUUAAUUUUGGUUCCGAUUGAACGUUUUUCAGUAGUUUAAGACAUGCAAAUCGUUGUUUCCAAAGUCCUUAUAAAUUAAUAUUUUUAAUAUUAAUGGGAUCAGGGGAUAAGGUGUAGAGGUGAGUAUGUUAAAUAAGAUACCCUGUAGUCUUCUUAGCUAGGAGAUAUAAAGUAAAGGAAAAUUUCUGCUAUAGGAUUCUAUUUAAUUUGAUUAGGUAGUUGAUAGGGUAACGGCCUACCAAGCCAACGAUCAAAAGUCAAGUUUUAAAGAACCUCUGGCCACAUUGGGGAUGAAAUCUCCCAAGUAGUAAUUACACUACCAGCAGUCGAGAAUAUUAGUCAAUGCUCGUAAGAGUGAACUAGCUAACUGAAAUCAUAGAAUUUCUUCAAAUUCAUGAUGUCGUAAGGGAAAAUAAUGAUAAUACCUUACUAUGAGUGUCGUCCAAAUCUGGUGCCAGAAGACUCGGUAAGACCAGAGACGCAAACGUUAAUCAUCAUAAACAGGCGUAAAGGGUUUGUAGGCAGCUUUUAUAAGAUAAUAAAAAUCUAAAUUGAAAGCUAGAAUCAAAAAGAGGUUAUAGUGUAUAACGCCUAGAGGAGGGCUGAUAUCCAUAGAUCCUAGGCAGAAUACUCAGGGCGAAGGCCACUCUCCACUAAUGAUUGACGCUGAGAAACGAAGGUUAGGGUAGGAAAUAGGAUUUUAAAUUGCGACCUGAAAAGCUUAUUUAAGUAUAGCGGAGUAACUCCGUCUAAAUAUUCCAUCUUAUUAGAGUUCGCCUUAAUAAACGAGCAUUGGUAACAAUCUAGUUUAAAGCUUAAGGUAGAAACUAAAUAAUAUUAUUUGGUUUGAACUGUCUUCUAUGGUUAGAGAAAUCGAAUCUAUGUAUUAAAGGUUUUAUUAAUUAGUAUUUUCACGAGUCCUUGGUGACUAUAAGAUGGACAAAUAAUUAUAAAAUUAAAGUAGGAACCUAAGGAAGACUAUUACGUACUUAAAUAGGAACAGGGAAACUCCUAUAAUCUGCUAUUUAUAUAAUAGCAAGGAAAUUAGCAAUAAUUUCUUAUAGAUUAGAGGAAACAAGACAGCGUUAAAAGCGAAGGCCAUUAUGUAAUGUAAUGGAUAGGCUCUUUAUUAUAAAUAAAUAAAGAAGAUAGCCAAUUCGAAAGGAUGCUGACUAACGCAUGGGUGAUUCUAAAGUAUUUAUUAUUUAGCCAUAUAAUGUUUAAGGACAUGGAAAAAGCAUUGUUUAAUUUAUGGCUAGAAUGGUUUGUAGGUUUCUGUGAUGCUGACGCUAAUUUUCAAGUAUUUCCUAAAAAAAGAUCUUAUCUAACAAAAGAAGGUAUCCUUAAUGAGUAUUAUAAUAUUGGUUAUGGUUUCCACAUUGGUUUAAGUAUUAAAGAUUUACCUCUCCUAGAAAAAGUUAAAACUCAGUUAAAUUCAAUAGGCCAUAUUUAUGUGUAUUCACACAGAGAUGAAGCUAGAUGGGCAGUAACUAAAAAAACAGAAUUAAUUUAUCUAAUUGAAACUGUCUUUGAGAAACAACCUUUACUAACUGAACAUCAAAGAGUAAGAUAUGCAAGACUAAAAUAUGGUGUACUAAAUAAUUUUAAUAGAGUUGAAACUUUAGGAGAAUAUGAAAAAUUUAUACAUAGAAAUUAUGUAGAAACUAACAUCCUUGAUAAUUAUUAUACAUCAGGAACUGCUUUUGAUAAUUGGAUCUUAGGAUUUGUUAAUGGUGAAGGUUGUUUUUAUGUUCAUAAAAAAGGUCAUUUAGUUUUUUAUAUUGAACAUACUGACAAACAAGUACUAGAAUUAAUAAAAACAAGACUCUCUCUAAGCCCUAAUAUUUUAGAUAGAGGAAAUAGAAAUAGUACCAGAAAAGAUACAUAUUCUCUAACUAUCUCUUCUAAAAAAGAUAUACUUGCAAUUAGGAGUUUGUGCGAAAAUCCUCUGUUGAAUAAAUUAGAAGGUCAAAAAUUAGUACAAUAUAAUAAUUGGCAAGUUAAUGCUUAGAUUUUAGGUAUUGAAAUUAGUAGAAGUUAAACUUAAAUUUACAAAAGUUCUAAGGAUAUAGAGCCUCCUUAUUAUAAAAUUUAUUUUUUUUUCUGCCGUCCGGCACAUAAUACUUUAGAAUGGCUUGAGCCGUAUGCGAUGAAAGUCGCAUGUACGGUUCUUUGUGGAAGAACAACUGUGAAGUUCUGAUUCCACGGUUAGAUACCCCGGUACUCCUUUCUGUAAACGAUGAAUGGUAGUCAUUAGUUUUAAUAAAUAACUAGAGGCGAAGUUAACACAAUAACCAUUCCGCCUUGUGAGUACUACUGCAAAGUAGAAAACAAAAAAAUUAGUCGGUCUCGAAGCAAACGGAGUGAAGCAUGUUAUUUAAUACGAUAAUCCGCGUAAAACCUUACCAGAACUUGCAUACAAACUAUAAAAUUUCCUACCUGAAAAGGUAAAGAAAAUAUUAGGAGUGUUUAAAAUUUAAAUACUUAAGUACAGGUGUUGCAUGGCUGUCUUCAGUUCGUGUUGUUAAACAUUAGGUUAAUUCCACUAACGAACGAAAUCCCUGUUAUUAAUUUAUACUUAAUAACUAAUAAAUCUGAUAGAGAUUUAGCGGGGGCUAAGACAAGUCGUUAUGGCCCUCAUGUUCUGGGCUAUAGACGUGCCACAAAAACUUUUACAAAGUGAUGCGAUACUUCCCAAUAGAAGUGGAGCUAAUCAUUAAAAAAAGUUAUUUAUAUUAAAAAUAAGCCGGAUUGUCUCCUGUAAUUCGGAGGCAUGAAGAAGGAAUUCCGAGUAAUCGUUGAUAAGUAGCGCAACGGUGAAGCUAGUUUCGUGAUGAACUAACUGUCUGUCGCUGGGAAGAAGCUUUUAGUGGAGGAAACUGGAGUAAGAUUAUGUUUUUUCAUAGUAACUCAUUGCUUUAAGUAAAGUAUUUUUAGUAUUAUGAUAAACUUAUUGGAUUUAGUGAAUUCAUUAAGGUAACAUCUCAAAAGUCAUAGCAUGGUAGCUGUACUGGAAAGUGCAGCUGGAUAAUAAUUAAU
rnacentral:rRNA from 1 species